rnacentral:tRNA from 1 species
GAGGAUAUAGCUCAGUGGUAGAGCACAUGCUUAGCAUGCACGAGGUCCUGUGUUCAGCCCCCAGGUCCUCA